GUGGGGAAUAUUGCACAAUGGGGGAAACCCUGAUGCAGCGACGCCGCGUGAGGGAAGAAGGUUUUCGGAUUGUAAACCUCUGUCCUUGGUGACGAUAAUGACGGUAGCCAAGGAGGAAGCCACGGCUAACUACGUGCCAGCAGCCGCGGUAAUACGUAGGUGGCAAGCGUUGUCCGGAAUUACUGGGUGUAAAGGGAGCGUAGGCGGGAAAGCAAGUUGAAUGUUUAAACUAUCGGCUCAACCGAUAAUCGCGUUCAAAACUGUUUUUCUUGAGUGAAGUAGAGGUAGGCGGAAUUCCUAGUGUAGCGGUGAAAUGCGUAGAUAUUAGGAGGAACACCAGUGGCGAAGGCGGCCUACUGGGCUUUAACUGACGCUGAGGCUCGAAAGCGUGGGUAGCAAACAGGAUUAGAAACCCGAGUAGUCC
rnacentral:rRNA from 1 species